rnacentral:ncRNA from 1 species
GCCAGAAGAGGCGCGUCGCCCAGGUAAAGUGUCAGAGGAGCCGUACUCCCAUGACGGCACCGGAGGGGGAGCGACGCCGAGGUACAGCGGCCAGCGGCGGCCAACGUAUCGGCUACAGGGGCUGAAUCCCCUGGGUUGUCACCCUAGGCCACCACAGGUGGCCGGCAAGGUGGGGCGCUUCUGGGU